ensembl:lncRNA
GCUCUAGGCUUCCGGACCAAAUCCAAAGACCCUGAAUGGUCACCAGCUGAGGAGGGCUGCACAGCGGGAACACAGUCCAACACCUCUGGAUGGUCAGGGAGGGGAAAACGGUAAAACACAGAAAACGUUGUUGACAUUCACAGAAAACAUUGUUGACAUUCAAAGGGUUCAAAUCUCACAUUUUCCAUGAUGAAAGUUACUUUAGUCGCUCUGGUCAGUCUCUGUGGAUGUUUAGGUACAGCUGGCGGUGGAGGUUUGGUUGUAGCCCCUCAACCACAAUCUGCAAGUGGAGGGUGUAACUGCAGGUUUGUGGCAGAGGCUGUUAAGGUGGAAUUAAGUUGCAGUUGUCUGCAAGCAGACUGCAGUUGGAGGCAAAAACCGCAGGUUGCUGGCAGAGGAUUUUAGGUGGAGGCUGGCAGAGGCUGCAGGUGGUGCAACUGUGGUCGUAGGACGUAGGUGGAGGUUUGGUUGAAGCUGUCUGCCAGCAACCUGCAGUUUGAGGCGGCAUCAACAGGUCACUGGCAGAGGCCGUAGGUGGAGGUUUGGUUUCAGCUGGCUGCCAGCAACCUUCAGUUGGAGGCAACAACUGCAGGUCACUGGCAGAGGAUCAAGGUGAAGGUUUGCUUCCAGCUGUCUGCCAAUAUCUGCUGGUGGAGGUGGUAACAGCAGUUUAGGGGUUGAGCCUAUGUAAGGUGGAGGUUUGGUAGCAGCUGUCAGCAACAUGCAGUUGGAGGCAGCAACUGCAGAUUGCUAGAGGAGGCUGAAGGUUCCAGCUGCCACAACUUGCUGGUGGAGGCAGCAACAGCAGGACUGUGGCAGAGGUUCUUUAGGUGGAGGGUAGGUUGCAGGUGGUGUAGCUUGUUGAAUUGUAGUCAAUGUGAGUUUUUGAUGCAAAUUGUCCAGAGACACUUGUUCCCCACAAUUUGUAGGUGGAAAUACAUCUCCAGCUAUCAGCAGGUGGAUCGUGGGGCAGCGGUUGCGUGGUAAAAGCUGCUGGCAGAGGGUGGAGGCAGCAGAAAGCUAAUGUCAGCUGGAAUCUGCAGGACAACGACGGGGGCUGGAGGUGGAGGGGAGUUUCUCUCCUGGUGGGCACCACCGUGCGAACCAUCUUAAUACGGUGCUUUUGAUACUUAAAAUCACACAACUUUUGCUUAUCAGCAAUGUGAUCUUAAUUGAGGGUUUUGGAGUUUUUAGCUCUUCUGUGGUGUCCCUGGCUUUGGCUCCCCCAAAAUGUCCACCUGGUGGAGGGGAGGGAAGACUCCAACCCCGUAGGAGACAUCCACGUGCACCAGUCCGUCUCCGUUGACUGUUUCGGUGAACAGGGGACGGUCCAGUCUCUGCCACAGCUUCUGCUUGAUGACGCGCCCCAGGCUCAGAGUGUAAGGACGCAGACGGCCGCUCUUGAACCUGAGAGGUAAAAACAACGAGUUUAAUCACAACGUCACAUGUGGUUCAAAUGUUGCUGUGAGGGAAUAUUGAGCGAUACAUUUAGUUGUGAUUGGAAGAAUGUGCUAAUUAUGUGAGCGAUUGUUGACACAACGCACCUCAGCAUUUCAUCAACAACCUCGUGGUACAGCUGCUGGUAUUCUUCCACUGGGAGGUUGAAUAUCUUCAGAGGCCCGUCGUGCAGUGGAGCAGUGGAGGGCUGGAGGCUGGGGGCCACACAGGAGACUCGGGGCAGGUCAGCAGGUGGGAUGGUGGCUCUAGGCUUCUCCACCAAAGACCCUGAAUGGUCACCAGCUGGGGAGGGCUGCACAGCGGGGACACAGUCCAACACCUCUGGAUGGUCAGGGAGGGGACGGCCUCCGGAGGUGCGCUUCCUCUUCUGGUGAAGGUCUCCGGGAGCAGCAGAGGGCCGGCGCUUUCUCUUUAGAGUCGGCCCCUGGUCAGCAACACAUCAAAGGGUGUGAGUGAACUUCAUACUGAACAACACACUGUCACAGAGAAACCUCUGCAUCACAUGCACUGCAGAGAGCCUUCACAGAUUCUGUCCAUUUUGAAGGAUUUUUAAUAUGCAAUCUCUUUGCUUGUUUGUACACUGACUCACUCCGGGUCCUGAGGAUUACAUUGUGAACAGUUUGAAAGAACAAGUCUCACCUGCUUGUCCCUGCAGCAUGAACACUGUCUCCAGGCUGAGGGCCUCGACGCGCUCUCUGCCUGGCGAGCAGAGGUUCUCCUUCCUGUCUGGUUGUCGGUCAGGAGAACGGGAACGUCACACUGCAACAACAUAGACUUGUGUUAGAAGGAAGCUUUACAAGUACGGUCAAAGCAGAACGUUUCAUUUCUCAAUUCACUGUGAAAACCAACUGAUAUUUCCCCUAAAACAUGACGUGUAUUUCCACACGCGUAGAGCUUCUAUCAGCACAUUCAACCAUCGAAAGAGUUCACAGAGACCAGAUGAAGUUUGUAGGGGCCUGAGCUGCAGGCCCGCUGUAAACACCUGUUCCUCACAGAAGUACGCCGUGUGGACAGGUUGUAUGUGCCUCAGUGUUAGCGGACCGACACUUAACUAUUAAUAACAUGAAUUAAGGAACAUGUGAUCAAGUGAAAAG